rnacentral:tmRNA from 1 species
GGGGACGUUUAGGAUUCGACAGGUGUAGUUUGAGCUAAGAUUGCGCUUCGUAGGUUACGACUACGUUAAAACGUUAACAGUUAAUAUAACUGCAAAAAACAAUAACAACUCUUACGCUUUAGCUGCCUAAACAGUAGCUGCGUAGAUCCGCCUAGUAUCGCCCAUGUGCUGGAUACGGGUCUCAAAUUAAGUGGGCUACGGUAAAGACUUCCACCUGGAGUUUUUGCAAGAGAUCAUCAGGUUAGCCUAAUGCUGGUUGCCGUGUU